AGUGAGCGCUGGCGGUAGGCCUAACACAUGCAAGUCGAACGGCAGCACAGUAAGAGCUUGCUCUUACGGGUGGCGAGUGGCGGACGGGUGAGGAAUACAUCGGAAUCUACUUUUUCGUGGGGGAUAACGUAGGGAAACUUACGCUAAUACCGCAUACGACCUACGGGUGAAAGCAGGGGAUCCUCGGACCUUGCGCGAUUGAAUGAGCCGAUGUCGGAUUAGCUAGUUGGCGGGGUAAAGGCCCACCAAGGCGACGAUCCGUAGCUGGUCUGAGAGGAUGAUCAGCCACACUGGAACUGAGACACGGUCCAGACUCCUACGGGAGGCAGCAGUGGGGAAUAUUGGACAAUGGGCGCAAGCCUGAUCCAGCCAUACCGCGUGGGUGAAGAAGGCCUUCGGGUUGUAAAGCCCUUUUGUUGGGAAAGAAAAGCAGCAGGUUAAUACCCCGCUGUUCUGACGGUACCCAAAGAAUAAGCACCGGCUAACUUCGUG
rnacentral:rRNA from 1 species